rnacentral:rRNA from 1 species
GAUGAACGCUGGCGGCGUGCCUAAUACAUGCAAGUCGAGCGAACAGAUAAGGAGCUGGCUCCGUUGACGUUAGCGGCGGACGGGUGAGUAACACGUGGGUAACCUACUUCAAAGACUGGUAAAACUUCGGGAAACCGGCGCUAAUACCGUAUGAUAUUUCGAACGGCAUGGUUCUAUAGUGAAAGUCGGUUUUGCUAUCACUUAUAGCUGGACCGCCGCCUUAUUGGCUAGUGGGUAAGGUAACGGCUUACCAAGGGGGCGAUCGGUAGCCGACCUGGGAGGGUGAUCGGCCACCCGGGAGCGUGUACACGCACCAGAGUCCUACGGGAGGCAGCAGUAGGGAAUGGUCCGCAGUGGGCGAGAGCCUGACGGAACAAGGCCGCGUGAGUGAUGAAGGUCUUCGGAUCGUAAAGCUCUGUUAUGAGUGAAGAACAUAUGUGUAAGUAACUGAGCACGUCGUGACGGUACCUAAACAGAAAGCCACGGCUAACUACGUG